AAGACUAUAGACCUGCGGAGUACCUGCGGAAGGAUCAUUGCCACACUAAACGAUCCAAGAUCGACACUUUUUUGUGAACUGUUAAUGUCUUGCGUUAAGACGCUUUGGUAGACACAUACUUGUGUAUGUGUUUUGCUAUAAUGCUGUUAACGCUUAUUUAACACCCCUAAUUUUGAUGAACAAUUCCUUGGAAGAAAGAAAGUUAUGUAUUCUUACAUGACGCUAGAUAAUUUAAUUGUC
rnacentral:misc_RNA from 1 species